rnacentral:rRNA from 1 species
UACGUAGGUGACAAGCGUUGUCCGGAUUUACUGGGCGUAAAGAGCGCGCAGGCGGUCGUUCAAGUCGAGUGUGAAAGCCCCCGGCUCAACUGGGGAGGGUCACUCGAUACUGAUCGACUCGAAGGCAGGAGAGGGUAGUGGAAUUCCCGGUGUAGUGGUGAAAUGCGUAGAGAUCCGGAGGAACACCAGAGGCGAAAGCGGCUUCCUGGGGUGGUGUUGACGCUCAGACACGAAAGCAUGGGGAGCGAACGGG